GGGGGCGAAAGGAUUCGACCGGAUACGUUGAGGUAUAGGCGGCGUAUUGAGGUUGUCAGGCGGCCUCAUUAAAAACCUGGCAAAAUGAUUUAAAUGCCGAAUAUCCAAUGGCAAUGGCUGCUUAAGUGUAGCCACGUUUAAUUAACCUUACCUGCGAGAUUAAUUAAACGACAACGAGCAGGAUAGUUUAGUUCCUGUGCUCGGUGGGAACUAAGCGAACCUUUAAACGGAGCUAGUCAUGAGAAAUCCUGUCUAUUGGAGUUUUUAAUGGCGAAAUUAAAAAAUAGACUAUGUACGUAGAAACCUAUGCUGAAAUAUCCAGGGACGCGGGUUCAAUUCCCGCCGCCUCCACCA
rnacentral:tmRNA from 3 species